CAAGUCGCGUGCGCAGUUCCCGUAGCAAUACGGGGAUGGGCGCACGGCGCACGGGUGCGUAACACGUGGGCAAUCUGCCCUCCGAUGGGGAAUAACCCCGCGAAAGCGGGGCUAAUUCCGCAUAACAUUCCGGGGACCUCGGUUCCUGGAUUCAAAGCAGUGAUGCGUCGGAGGAGGAGCCCGCGCCCGAUUAGCUAGUUGGUGAGGUAACGGCUCACCAAGGCAAUGAUCGGUAGCUGGUCUGAGAGGAUGGCCAGCCACACUGGAACUGAGACACGGUCCAGACUCCUACGGGAGGCAGCAGUGGGGAAUCUUGCGCAAUGGGCGAAAGCCUGACGCAGCGACGCCGCGUGGGGGAUGAAGCUUCUCGGAGUGUAAACCCCUUUCGACUGGGACGAAUGCCCGCAAGGGAGUGACGGUACCAGUAGAAGAAGCCCCGGCUAACUACGUGCCAGCAGCCGCGGUAAGACGUAGGGGGCCAGCGUUGUUCGGAAUUACUGGGUGUAAAGGGUUCGUAGGCGGUGUGGCAAGUUGGGAGUGAAAUCUCUGGGCUUAACCCAGAGGCUGCUUCCAAAACUGCUGUGCUUGAGUGUGGGAGAGGCGCGUGGAAUUGCAGGUGUAGCGGUGAAAUGCGUAGAUAUCUGCAGGAACACCCGUGGCGAAAGCGGCGCGCUGGACCACAACUGACGCUGAGGAACGAAAGCUAGGGGAGCAAACAGGAUUAGAUACCCUGGUAGUCCUAGCCCUAAACGAUCAGGACUUGGGGUGCCGCCCGUUCGGGCGUCGUCCCGGAGCUAACGCGUUAAGUCCUGCACCUGGGGAGUACGGUCGCAAGACUGAAACUCAAAGGAAUUGACGGGGGCCCGCACA
rnacentral:rRNA from 1 species